rnacentral:rRNA from 1 species
AUUAUUUUAAGCUAUAUAUUAGGAGUAAAUAAAAUUUAUGAAAUUAAAAAAUUUUGGCGGUAUUUUAAGCUUUUUAGAGGAAUUUGCUCUGUGAUGGACACAACGCCUUAAUCUUACUUAAUUUAGUAAUUUAAAUCAGUUUGUAUACCACUAUAUUAAUUAUAUUGAAUAGUUAUAUUUAAAAUUUUUUAAAAAAAAUAUAUUAAGUCAAGGUGCAUCUAAUAAUUAUGAAUGAAGUGAAUUACAUUAAUUUUAAUGUAAUUUUUUACAUGAAAAAAUUAAUUAGGAUUUAAUAGUAAAAUACUAAUAUUAUGAGUAUUUGAAUCAAGCUCUAAAAUAUGCAC